UAGCAAUAGGUAUGCUUAGGGAAGAGCUUGCGUCACAUUAGUUAGUUGGUGGGGUAAUGGCCUACCAAGACGAUGAUGUGUAGCCGGGCUGAGAGGUCGAACGGCCACAUUGGGACUGAGACACGGCCCAAACUCCUACGGGAGGCAGCAGUAAGGAAUCUUCGGCAAUGGAGGAAACUCUGACCGAGCAAUGCCGCGUGAACGAUGAAGUAUUUCGGUACGUAAAGUUCUUUUAUUAGGGAAGAAAAGAUGGUGGAAAAACCAUUAUGACGGUACCUAAUGAAUAAGCCCCGGCUAACUAUGUGCCAGCAGCCGCGGUAAUACAUAGGGGGCAAGCGUUAUCCGGAAUUAUUGGGCGUAAAGGGUGCGUAGGCGGUUAAAUAAGUUUAUGGUCUAAGUGCAACGCUCAACGUUGUGAUGCUAUAAAAACUGUUUAGCUAGAGUUGGAUAGAGGCAAGUGGAAUUCCGUGUGUAGUGGUAAAAUGCGUAAAUAUACGGAGGAACACCAGAAGCGAAGGCGGCUUGCUGGGUCUUAACUGACGCUGAGGCACGAAAGCGUGGGGAGCAAACAGGAUUAGAUACCCUGGUAGUCCACGCCCUAAACGAUGAGUACUAAACGUUGGAUAAAACCAGUGUUGAAGUUAACACAUUAAGUACUCCGCCUGAGUAGUACGUACGCAAGUAUGAAACUUAAAGGAAUUGACGGGACUCCGCACAAGCGGUGGAUCAUGUUGUUUAAUUCGAAGGUACCCGAAAAACCUCACCAGGUCUUGACAUGCUUUUGCAAAGCUGUAGAAAUACAGUGGAGGUUAUCAGAAGCACAGGUGGUGCAUGGUUGUCGUCAGCUCGUGUCGUGAGAUGUUGGGUUAAGUCCCGCAACGAGCGCAACCCUUGUUGUUAAUUGCCAUCAUUAAGUUGGGGACUUUAGCAAGACUGCCAAUGAUAAAUUGGAGGAAGGUGGGGACGACGUCAAAUCAUCAUGCCCCUUAUGACCUGGGCUACAAACGUGAUACAAUGGCUGUUACAAAGGGUAGCUAAAGCGUAAGCUUCUGGCGAAUCUCAAAAAAGCAGUCUCAGUUCGGAUUGAAGUCUGCAACUCGACUUCAUGGAAGUUGGAAUCGCUAGUAAUCGCGAAUCAGCAUGUCGCGGUGAAUACGUUCU
rnacentral:rRNA from 1 species